GCCAGACUCCUACGGGAGGCAGCAGUGGGGAAUAUUGCACAAUGGGGGGAACCCUGAUGCAGCAACGCCGCGUGGGUGAAGAAGUAUUUCGGUAUGUAAAGCCCUAUCAGCAGGGAAGAAGAUGACGGUACCUGACUAAGAAGCCCCGGCUAAAUACGUGCCAGCAGCCGCGGUAAUACGUAUGGGGCAAGCGUUAUCCGGAUUUACUGGGUGUAAAGGGAGCGUAGACGGUUAUGCAAGUCUGGAGUGAAAGGCGGGGGCUCAACCCCCGGACUGCUCUGGAAACUGUAGAACUAGAGUGCAGGAGGGGUAAGUGGAAUUCCUAGUGUAGCGGUGAAAUGCGUAGAUAUUAGGAGGAACACCAGUGGCGAAGGCGGCUUACUGGACUGUAACUGACGUUGAGGCUCGAAAGCGUGGGGAGCAAACAGGAUUAGAUACCCGGGUACA
rnacentral:rRNA from 1 species